rnacentral:rRNA from 1 species
GACCCGAAAGAUGGUGAACUAUGCCUGAAUAGGGUGAAGCCAGAGGAAACUCUGGUGGAAGCUCGUAGCGGUUCUGACGUGCAAAUCGAUCGUCAAAUUUGGGUAUAGGGGCGAAAGACUAAUCGAACCAUCUAGUAGCUGGUUCCCUCCGAAGUUUCCCUCAGGAUAGCUGGAGCCCGGAUUAUGUGUGUAGUUUUAUCAGGUAAAGCGAAUGAUUAGAGGUAUUGGGGUUGAAACGACCUCAACCUAUUCUCAAACUUUAAAUGGGUAAGAGGCACAGCUUACUUAAGUGAAGUUGUGUGCGUGUAAAAUGUGAAUACAGGGGCUCUUAGUGGGCCAUUUUUGGUAAGCAGAACUGGCGAUGCGGGAUGAACCGAACGCUGGGUUAAGGUGCCCAAGUCAACGCUCAUGAGAUCCCAGGAAAGGUGUUGGUUGAUACAGACAGCAGGACGGUGGCCAUGGAAGUCGGAAUCCGCUAAGGAGUGUGUAACAACUCACCUGCCGAAUCAACUAGCCCUGAAAAUGGAUGGCGCUCAAGCGUUGCACCUAUCCCCGGCCGCCGUGUGGAGUAGGCCAGUGUUGGUGACACGGCGUGUAGGAGGGCGCGGGGCUGUGUGUGUGUAUGCUGUGCAGGCUGGUGCGUGAGCCCAGCUGAAGCCGGCUCUGGUGCAGAUCUUGGUGGUAGUAGCAAUUAUUCAAAUGAGAACUUUGAAGGCCGAAGUGGAGAAGGGUUCCACGUGAACAGCAUUUGGACGUGGGUGGGUCGGUCCUAAGAGAUGGGCGAAAGCCUGGUUAGUAAGGGUGCAGAUGUGUUGUGUCCUUCACGGGGCAUGCAUAUCCUGGUUGGUGUUCCUUCUUCACGGGGGGCGAUGCCUAGCCAUGUGGUGGCACCAGCUCUCGAAAGGGCAUCGGGUUAAUAUUCCCGAACCAGACACCUGGAUGCUGCCUGUUUUCGACUGGCCUCUUCACGGGGGUUGGUUGGGCAGGUGGAGCACGGCAACGUAUAUGUAUUAGUAUGUGUGUAUACUCGGCGACGCUUGCGAUAGCCCUGGGAAGAGUUGUCUUUUCUUCUUAACCGUACCAACCGUGUGCACAGCCCUGGAAGCAGUUUACCUUGAGAGAGGGCUGGAGGUCGGGUAAAGCGCUGCACUUAUUGCAGCGUCCAGUGCGCUGUCGAGAGCCCUUGAAAAGCUGAGUCAGGACUGGACCAUGUUAGUCUCGUGUCUGGCCGUACCCAUCACCGCAUCAGGUCUCCAAGG